GGAGAGGUGCCUGAGUGGUUGAAAGGAGCUCCCUGCUAAGGAGUUGAUCCUAUUGCUGGAUCCCAGGGUUCGAAUCCCUGCCUCUCCGCCA
rnacentral:tRNA from 1 species